UGGUCACAUCACAUUGAAACACCAGUUCCCAUAUGAUCACUGAAGUUAAGCAACAUUGAGCCUGGUUAGUAACUAAAUGGGUGAUGGUUUCAGAAUACCAGGUUCUGUAA